UUUCUUCUUCCUGAUUCCCUCUCUGGCCACUAGUCUCUCUACUCUCAACCAAGGCUCUCUGUGCUGCACGACUUCCGAAAAUUAACAUGGAUGGAAUUGAUUCUUUAGAUUCUCUCCCUGAAUUCACCUUAGCUGAGAUUCUUGAAAUGGAGAGUAUGUUCAAGGAAAUAGCAGAAGAAUCCUUGAAUCGUGAAGUCUGCCAAGGGCUUGCUACCAGUUUUAAUUGCUCGCCUAAUCGGAUUGGAAAAUCUGCAAUUCUUUGGCAACAGGUGCAUGCUUGGUUUAUGGAUAAAUAUAAAUCUAAAACAGCAAUGACGCCUAUGCCUAUGAAGAUGCGUUUUGAGUCUAUUGACUUCUCCUGUGAGAAUACUGCUGGUGAUAUAUCUCAAACUUCACGAAAGCCUAGAGGUAUGAUGUUGCCUCAUUCCUCACAUACCGGGUUCUUUAUUCUGGUGAACUUGUAAGAUUCUUCUACAUUGAUUCUACUCCUAUUUGGACUACAAGGAAUAUUUCUAAUAAAGGAAGUCCGAGUACGAUUCUCUGGAUUCCGUAACACAGAUGAUGAGUGGGUGAAUGUAAGAAGAGGAGUACGCGAGCGAUCUAUCCCUUUGGAACCUUCAGAAUGUCACAGGGUCAAGUUCAGGGAUCUUGUGUUGUGCUUCCAGGAUAGAGAAGCUCAAUCCAUUUACUUUGAUGCACACAUCAUAGAAAUACAAAGGCAUUUGCACGAUCCACAGAGCUGCAGUUGCAUCUUCCGUGUUCGUUAUGACCACGACGGUACUGAGGAAAACGUUGGAUUGGAGAGAAUAUGUUGCAGGCCUAUGCAACAUUAACUAGUUUUUGGCUCUUCGUGAGGAUCAAUAUGUUUGGAAUUAGGAAAGUGAAGAGAGAGGGGGAAAGCAGGGGAAUCGUAUAUUCUUAUUCUUCUGUUCAAAUUAACGUAAAAAAAGAAAAAGAAAGGGAAAGAGAAGGAUUGUGAGCAUUUUCUUCGAAUUUUUUCUUUAGGACACAUUACCAUUUGUCAUGUUAAUAUUGUUUUUUUUUUUUUACUUUUUUUUUUUAAACCAAUUAUAAUUGGAUAUUUACUGUUUUAAUUCAUGAAAUUUGUCA